rnacentral:rRNA from 1 species
UACGGAGGGUGCAAACGUUGCUCGGAAUCAUUGGGCGUAAAGCGCACGUAGGCGGCUCGUUAAGUCGGAUGUGAAAGCCCCGGGCUCAACUCGGGAAGUGCAUUCGAAACUGGCGAGCUUGAAUAUGGAAGAGGGUCGCGGAAUUCCCGGUGUAGAGGUGAAAUUCGUAGAUAUCGGGAGGAACACCAGUGGCGAAGGCAGCAAACUGGGCUUCAUCUGACGCUGAUGCGCGAAAGCGUGGGUAGCAAACAGG